GGUGGCCCUCGGUGCUGCCGCUGUUCGGACGGCGACCGAAAUCAUGACAUUCGGCGGAAUCCGCUAAAGUAUCUCGACGAGUACCUCUACACCAAAAGCGGGGUCUACAAUGAAAAUUUAAGACGCUUAGAAGCAUCGAUUGUAGACCGGGACGAACGCGGACGAACCUAUUACGAUGAGCGCACGAGAGGAACGGUUUUUCUUCUCCAGUCUGCUGCGUGUAUGUCGACGCGCGAUCGCUUCGAUAAAACGGGUAUCGGAUCCUUCCACACGAGACUGCUCCGAGAAUCGCAGCGGGGAAUCGCAGUGAUAACGAGCGUGCGCUCGCUCGAUGACGAGAAAUCACCGUGGGAUUUAAAAGUGGAAAAAUAUUCGAGGGCUUCGAGAGAGAAAAAAGAACACCGCAGGCGCGUCACUCGUCUUGCGAGAUUUAGAUCCGCAGCAACGAGCGAACUACUUACGAUUUUGCCACAAAUGCAACAGGUUCUUAUAAGCCUCAGGAAAGUUAAGAAACUCACUCGCAGCGGCUAGUCAACGUAAAAAGGUGCUACACGAUGGAACAGCAAGGUAUGACUAAUGAAUGACGAUAACGGAUCGAGAGAGCCCCGAUCUACCGUGCGAACGGUUGAAUCUCAAUCUCUCGAUCGAAUCUCAGGGACGUGUCACGAAACGAAGCACCAAAUUGCGCCCGCACAAGUCAGCUUGAAAGUCCUCCUCCUAUUUCUCCUAUGAAUAUCUGCCAUUUUUGGGUCGCGAUAUGUCUACCCGGGAUCAAUUUCUUCUUUCUAAU